rnacentral:rRNA from 1 species
CUGGUUGAUCCUGCCAGUAGUCAUAUGCUUGUCUCAAAGAUUAAGCCAUGCAAGUCUAAGUAUAAUCGAAUUAACUGAUGACACUGCGAAAAGCUCCUUAAAAUAGUUAUAAUUUAUUUGAUAGUGACGUUACUACUCGGAUAGCCGUAGUAAUUCUAGAGCUAAUACGUGCGUAAAAGCCUGACUGCGUGAGCGGAAGGGCCGUGUUUAUUAGAUCGAAAACCAGCUUUGCUUGGGUGGGCAACCGUCCUUGCAUGCAUACUGGUGAGUCAUGAUAAUCGUCGUAUCGACCUCGGUCGAUUGUUCAUUCAAAUUUCUAACCUAUCAACCUGACGUUAAGGUAGUGUCUUAGAGUAGUCGUGACGGGUGACGGGGAAUCAGGGUUCGAUACCGGAGAGGGCGCAUGAGAAAUUGCGACCAUCACUAAGGUGAGCAGCAGGCGCGCAAAUUACCCACUGGCAAUUAAUUUGCUGAGGUAGUGACAAAAAAUACCGAUAUCGGGCUUUGGUUCGACAAUUGGAAUGGGGUGGGUGCAAAUAGCCCGCCGAGCAACCAUUAGAGGGCAAGUCUGGUGCCAGCAGCCGCGGUAAUUCCAGCUCUAAUAGUGUAUACUAACGUUGCUGAUGUUAAAAAGCUCGUAGUUGGAUUUAAGAUGGAGCUUUUCGUCCUUGUGUUUUUGUUGCCACGGACUGCUGGUGAGAGGCCUACUUUUCUGUCGUGGGUUGAUUCAAGAUCCCGGUGGGGGAGAGGUGCCGAUCAGCACCGGAUUGGCCGCAGGGAUUGCUUCGUCAAUUAAUUUUUUCGAAUUGUCGCGGUCUUCUUCAUUGAGGUACGGCGGCGGUCCGGAAGGUUUACUUUGAAGAAAAUGGAGUGUUCAAAGCAGGCGUUUCGCAGCUGAACACAUUAGCAUGGAAUAAUAAAAUAGGACAUCAGUGGGGCUUUCGCCGGUCUUGUUUUUCUCUGUGAGUUUUUAUUUCCUGUCGAGUGUUGGCUAUCUUUGCUUCCGCAGGGGUGGUUGAUGCUCGGUAGGGGGCUUGCAGGGAGACAGGAAUGUCGGGGGGUCUCUGCUUUUAAUUAUGCAUCCGUUUUGUUGGCUUUCUGGAGCUGGUGUAAUGAUUAAUAGGGACUGUCGGGGGCAUUAGUAUUGCAUUGUCAGAGGUGAAAUUCUUGGAUUUAUGCAAGACUAACUAGUGCGAAAGCAUUUGCCAAGGAUGUUUUCAUUAAUCAAGAACGAAAGUGAGGGGAUCGAAGACGAUCAGAAACCGUCGUAGUCCUCGCCAUAAACUAUACCGUCUAGGGAUUAGGGGUCGACCAUUUUUCAUAGUCUCCUUUAGCACCUUAGGGAAACCAAAGUUUUCGGGUUCAUGGGGGAGUAUGGCCGCAAGACUGAAACUUAAAGAAAUUGACGGAAGGGCACCACCAGAUGUGGAGCAUGCGGCUCAAUUCGACUCAACACGGGGAAACUUAUCAGGUUCGGACACGGUGAGGAUUGACAGAUUGAUAGCUCUUUCUUGAUUCCGUGGGUGGUGGUGCAUGGUCGUUCUUAGUUGGUGGGGUGGCUUGUCUGCUUAAUUGCGAUAACGAACGAGACCUCGGUCUGCUAACUAACGGCGCGCCAGGACAUGAAAGUGUUGUGGCGUGGUUACCGUUCCUUAGAGAGACUACCGUUGAGAAACGGGGGAAGUGAGGCAAUAACAGGUCCGUUAUGCCCUUAGAUAAUCUGAACCGCACGCGU